rnacentral:rRNA from 1 species
GACGAACGCUGGCGGCAUGCUUAACACAUGCAAGUCGAACGGAAAGGCCCUGCUUUUGUGGGGUGCUCGAGUGGCGAACGGGUGAGUAACACGUGAGUAACCUGCCCUUGACUUUGGGAUAACUUCAGGAAACUGGGGCUAAUACCGGAUAGGAGCUCCUGCUGCAUGGUGGGGGUUGGAAAGUUUCGGCGGUUGGGGAUGGACUCGCGGCUUAUCAGCUUGUUGGUGGGGUAGUGGCUUACCAAGGCUUUGACGGGUAGCCGGCCUGAGAGGGUGACCGGCCACAUUGGGACUGAGAUACGGCCCAGACUCCUACGGGAGGCAGCAGUGGGGAAUAUUGCACAAUGGGCGGAAGCCUGAUGCAGCAACGCCGCGUGCGGGAUGACGGCCUUCGGGUUGUAAACCGCUUACGCCUGUGACGAAGCGUGAGUGACGGGAAUGGGUAAAGAAGCACCGGCUAACUACGU